ACUGUGGGAGGGUAAGAAAGUAUUAUUAUUGUUAUUAUUAUUAUUAUUAUUAUUAUUAUUAUUAUUUGGUCCUGCCAGAUACAUGACUCCAUCCAACCCCAGGGCAGGCUGUAGGUUAAAUGCUGGGGUAUAGACUUCUCUUCUGGGGCGUCUUCACUAUUGUACCCUUCUCAGCAAGCCUCUUUUCCACACGUGGCUCUUAGACUUCAUCACCAGCACUAAUGUCUUCUCCAUGCUAUGGGGUCCCCACAUAUGUGUGGUGUGUGUGUGUGUGUGGUGUGGUAUGUAUGUGGUAUGUGUAUGUGUGUGGUCAUCACAAUAUGGUGACCAGCCAGCCAGCUGAUCCAUACACACCACAAGUGACCUGCUUACGGCUUCCAGAGAAAUAAGUCCUUUAAGUACGGUUCAACCCAGACUGUUUCCGGCUACCUUGGAGACUUCCUGCAACCUGCCUCUCUUCUUAUAGAAGCGUGUGCACUUUCUAGACAUAUUCCCUCAUGGUCCACUAAGACUCAGCCUAACAGCACCCUAUAUUCCUGGGUGCUACUUCCGUGCCCAGCAAACGGGGUAUUUUAACACAUGCAUUUCCACUGUGCAGCGAGGCCAGGGCUGUGACUUGCAUUCCUGACCGGGUCUGGCUUUGCUCUGAGAGCCACCACAGUGUUUCAGGAUGUAUAUCGGGACACAGCAUCCAAGUGGCACUUUGAGAGGAGGAAACAGUUCCAGCUGACUGGCCACCAAGGGCCACAUUCAGAAUCUCCACCCUGGCGUGGCUACAGCCCCUUCCUGCUUGGACCUUAGUGUGGAACUGUUAUUUCCACAGCCCGGUGCUUACCAGACAGUAGUGACAGUUUGCCCCUGGAGCUCUCUGUAACUUAAAACGCCAAGAGAACAGGAUCCAAACUCUGACUGCCACAUCUGCCACCUGCUCCCAAAGUGCCUCUGUCCUGGAAUUCCUCGUAGCACAUUUUUCAGACAGGUCCUGUGUCUUCCAGGCCUUGUGACAGAGGCUAGGGGAAUAGUAAAAUGAUGGGGAUCCUAUCCCCAGAAACUCAGAUGAACUUUGACCUGAUGACUGACUCCCUGGCGCCUGGCAAGCUUCUCCCAGCAGGCUUCCAUUUUUCGGACAGAUGGGGAGGCUUUUAUUUCUCUCUUACAAUUGGCUCCUUCGGGAGGCAGAGGUAGUGAGCUCCUUCCCAGAGGGAGCUGUCAUCUCAGCCAAGUGGAGGGAUGCUGGCAGCACACCAGGGGCUUAGGAUGGCUAUCAGUUACCUUAUGCCCCUAGUUGGUCCCAAGAGGUGAAGAGAUGAGCUCCGUGCCCAUUUAGAAGGUGAGGCAAACCAAGGCAGGACAGCAUGAUAGACCCCGGCCAGCAUGAGACAACUUAGCAAGUCUUAGCUCUAUCAGGUUUCACUUUCACCAUCAGAGUUUGAGUUGCUGUUACUGCUGCCAGUGAGGAGAGAGUGGUCUAUGGGCCCUUGUUACCGACUUAGUACUCCGGCGUCAUUACGGAACGCUUGCAAGGGGCUCUUGAAGUUGAAGCUAAAGAAUGAGGAUUCUAUAGUCAUAAAAAGAAGCUGACGGUCAUGCUGAAAAGAGCCAGUCCCAAGCCUUCAACUUCACCAGUGGC
rnacentral:lncRNA from 1 species